rnacentral:rRNA from 1 species
CCCGGGCGGUGGUUGUCCCGGGGUAAGGGUGUAGGACGCACGGUAGGCAAAUCCGUCGUGCAUAUAGUCUGAGACCUGAUGCCGAGCCGAUUGUGGUGAAGUGGAUGAUCCUAUGCUGUCGAGAAAAGCCUCUAGCGAGUUUCAUGGCGGCCCGUACCCUAAACCGACUCAGGUAGUCAGGUAGAGAAUACCGAGGCGUUCGGGUGAACUAUGGUUAAGGAACUCGGCAAAAUGCCCCCGUAACUUCGGGAGAAGGGGGGCCAUCACUGGUGAGGGAACGUGCUUCCUGAGCUGGGGGUGGCCGCAGAGACCAGCGAGAAGCGACUGUUUACUAAAAACACAGGUCCGUGCGAAGCCGUAAGGCGAUGUAUACGGACUGACGCCUGCCCGGUGCUGGAACGUUAAGGGGACCGGUUAGUGCACUUUCGGGUGUGCGAAGCUGAGAACUUAAGCGCCAGUAAACGGCGGUGGUAACUAUAACCAUCCUAAGGUAGCGAAAUUCCUUGUCGGGUAAGUUCCGACCUGCACGAAUGGCGUAACGACUUCUCGACUGUCUCAACCAUAGGCCCGGUGAAAUUGCACUACGAGUAAAGAUGCUCGUUUCGCGCAGCAGGACGGAAAGACCCCGGGACCUUUACUAUAGUUUGAUAUUGGUGUUCGGUUCGGCUUGUGUAGGAUAGGUGGGAGACUUUGAAGCAGCCACGCCAGUGGUUGUGGAGUCGCCGUUGAAAUACCACUCUGGUCGUGCUGGAUGUCUAACCUGGGUCCGUGAUCCGGAUCAGGGACAGUGUCUGAUGGGUAGUUUAACUGGGGCGGUUGCCUCCUAAAGAGUAACGGAGGCGCCCAAAGGUUCCCUCAGCCUGGUUGGCAAUCAGGUGUUGAGUGUAAGUGCACAAGGGAGCUUGACUGUGAGACCGACGGGUCGAGCAGGGACGAAAGUCGGGACUAGUGAUCCGGCAGUGGCUUGUGGAAGCGCUGUCGCUCAACGGAUAAAAGGUACCCCGGGGAUAACAGGCUGAUCUUCCCCAAGAGUCCAUAUCGACGGGAUGGUUUGGCACCUCGAUGUCGGCUCGUCGCAUCCUGGGGCUGGAGUCGGUCCCAAGGGUUGGGCUGUUCGCCCAUUAAAGCGGUACGCGAGCUGGGUUUAGAACGUCGUGAGACAGUUCGGUCCCUAUCCGCUGUGCGCGUAGGAAUAUUGAGAAGGGCUGUCCCUAGUACGAGAGGACCGGGACGGACGAACCUCUGGUGUGCCAGUUGUCCUGCCAAGGGCAUGGCUGGUUGGCUACGUUCGG